ensembl:ribozyme RNaseP_nuc Nuclear RNase P
UGCUGUGUAAGCUCAUCAGCAGGGCCAUGUGCUGAGUGCUCAUUAGGUCUGAGACUGGGGCCUCCUGUGGCCCUAACAGGGCCCUCUCUGAGUGGGGAGGUGAGUUUCCAAAGAGCAGGGCUCCACGAGUGGGUGGACUGGGCAAGAAAGUCUUCAAUAACUUCUAAAGGGGUCCUGAAGCUUGAAAAUGCUGAAGUAGGUGAGUGACAUAUAGACUCUUCUGAGAUUCUAUAAUCAAUGUGUAAAGGGGAUGGGUGAUGAAGUCUGGAAGUGUUUUGCCUUUUCAGUUAAGUUUUCAUCCCCAUUACCUUUGUUUCCUGAAGAAUAUAACAUGGCAGAGAAAUAGAAAAGGUUCUGACACUAACAGAAAUUCAUCUAGGUAAGUACAAUUAAAAUAUCAGAAAUUGGCAAAGUUAGAACAAAUAAAAUGCUCAGCA